UGGCGGGUUGAACGGCUCCCCCCACGCCGGGCCAAGCGGCUUAAAUGUCAGUAAAGGUCAGUCCCCUCCCCCCACGGGGAAAUGCUCCCCCGGGCCGCGCCGCCAGGCACCGUGAGGAGCGAGCCGGCGGGGACGAAGAAAGGAAGCUGCUCCCCAGAAAGAAGAAAAGAACUGACAGUGGGAAAAGAAGAGAGAAGAGGGAAAAAAAAGACAGGAAAAGGAUGAGAAUGUGAAAAAUUGGGACAGGAUCCAGGGGGCAGUAGGCACCUAUCUAAGACAAAGCCCCAAAUAAUGGGUCUGUCCCUAUAAAAUUGGGACAUCUGGUCACCUUAGGUGUGCUCCAAGAAGUGUGUGGUGAAUGAAGAGCAUGUCAACUGGAAGCAUGAUACAGAAUUUAACAGUGUAUAACAAUGGACCAUUGAUAAUGUAUGUCAAAGAUUAAAGACCACAUGUUUUCAGA